rnacentral:rRNA from 1 species
AGUGAACGCUGGCGGUAGGCCUAACACAUGCAAGUCGAACGGCAGCACAGUAAGAGCUUGCUCUUACGGGUGGCGAGUGGCGGACGGGUGAGGAAUACAUCGGAAUCUACUUUUUCGUGGGGGAUAACGUAGGGAAACUUACGCUAAUACCGCAUACGACCUACGGGUGAAAGCAGGGGAUCUUCGGACCUUGCGCGAUUGAAUGAGCCGAUGUCGGAUUAGCUAGUUGGCGGGGUAAGGGCCCACCAAGGCGACGAUCCGUAGCUGGUCUGAGAGGAUGAUCAGCCACACUGGAACUGAGACACGGUCCGGACUCCUACGGGAGGCAGCAGUGGGGAAUAUUGGACAAUGGGCGCAAGCCUGAUCCAGCCAUACCGCGUGGGUGAAGAAGGCCUUCGGGUUGUAAAGCCCUUUUGUUGGGAAAGAAAAGCAGCAGGUUAAUACCCCGCUGUUCUGACGGUACCCAAAGAAUAAGCACCGGCUAACUUCGUG